CUUAGUUGUUGUUAUUGUUGUUGAAAAAAAUAUGUAAAAAUUGAAAAAGAUAAGUCAACUCAUGACAACUAUAUCAUAGGAAAUUUACAAUUAAAAAUGUCAACUCAUAAUAAAUAGAUCAUAGGAAACCUAAAAUAGGAAAGUCAUCUCUUAACAACAAGAAUUUAGGAAUUAAUAAAUCUCAAUCCAAAAUUAAAGGAAUUUCAAUAUUAUAUUGAGAAGCAUAAUUUUAGACUCAUUCCUUUUAAUGAGUUAUAAUCUUAUAUACAUUCCUUAAACAUGUGUGUGUGUGUGUGUGUUUUAGGAAGAGUAAGUUGAUAGGUCUGUUUUAUACCCUCAUUUUUUUUUUGAGUCCCUAAUAUCUAGAUUUUAUUCUUCUGCAGUUAAAAAAGAUACUGCUGCUGAAAUUG
rnacentral:misc_RNA from 1 species